rnacentral:lncRNA from 1 species
UCACGAAUCUCAUAAUAUUUUGAAUCCAACUAUCCAAAAUAUUUAUGAAUCAUAGUAUACGGAUUUUUGAUUAUUGACCAUUAUUUAUAGUUAAUAUAUUAUUUUUUAUUAUUUUAUUCUAAAAUUUAUCCAUCAGUAUAUCAAUAUCAAAUCAGUAUGUGGUAUUAGUGAUAUAUCGAUGACCAAUAUAUCAAAUCAAAUAUUAUAAUAAAAAUAUUAAUAAUAUAAUAAAUUGGUAUUAGUACAGGAUCUUAUAUCAAAAUGGUAAAUCUUGUUUCAUUCGUGUGCACGCCCCUGUGCGUGUGUGGACCCCCGACAGAGAGAGAGAGAGAGAGAGAGAGAGAGAGAGACAAGCGGCC